UACGUAGGGGGCAAGCGUUGUCCGGAAUUAUUGGGCGUAAAGAGCGCGUAGGCGGUCCGAUAAGUCGGCUGUGAAAGUCAGGGGCUCAACCCUUGAAAGCCGGCCGAUACUGUCGGACUAGAGUCCGGAAGAGGCAAGUGGAAUUCCCGGUGUAGCGGUGAAAUGCGCAGAUAUCGGGAGGAACACCAAUGGCGAAGGCAGCUCACUACACAAUGAUUGACGCUGAGGCACGAAAGCGUGGGGAUCAAACAGG
rnacentral:rRNA from 1 species